UACAGGGGGUGCAAACGUUGCUCGGAAUCAUUGGGCGUAAAGCGCACGUAGGCGGUCUGUUAUGUCGGAUGUGAAAGCCCUUGGCUCAACUGAGGAAGUGCAUCCGAAACUGGCAGGCUAGAGUACUAAAGAGGAUCGCGGAAUUCCCGGUGUAGAGGUGAAAUUCGUAGAUAUCGGGAGGAACACCGGUGGCGAAGGCGGCGAUCUGGGUAGACACUGACGCUGAGGUGCGAAAGCGUGGGGAGCAAACAGG
rnacentral:rRNA from 1 species